UGCGAGUCGAACGAUGAGCUUGGAGCUUGCUCUGGGGGAUUAGUGGCGAACGGGUGAGUAACACGUGAGUAACCUGCCCUGGACUCUGGGAUAACUUCGAGAAAUCGGAGCUAAUACCGGAUAGGACCUUGCACCGCAUGGUGUGGGGUGGAAAGUUUUUCGGUUUGGGAUGGACUCGCGGCCUAUCAGCUUGUUGGUGAGGUAAUGGCUCACCAAGGCGUCGACGGGUAGCCGGCCUGAGAGGGUGACCGGCCACACUGGGACUGAGACACGGCCCAGACUCCUACGGGAGGCAGCAGUGGGGAAUAUUGCACAAUGGGCGCAAGCCUGAUGCAGCAACGCCGCGUGCGGGAUGACGGCCUUCGGGUUGUAAACCGCUUUUAGUAGGGAAGAAGCCUUCGGGUGACGGUACCUGCAGAAAAAGGACCGGCUAACUACGUGCCAGCAGCCGCGGUAAUACGUAGGGUCCGAGCGUUGUCCGGAAUUAUUGGGCGUAAAGAGCUCGUAGGCGGUUUGUCGCGUCUGCUGUGAAAACUAGAGGCUCAACCUCUAGCCUGCAGUGGGUACGGGCAGACUUGAGUGGUGUAGGGGAGACUGGAAUUCCUGGUGUAGCGGUGGAAUGCGCAGAUAUCAGGAGGAACACCGAUGGCGAAGGCAGGUCUCUGGGCACUUACUGACGCUGAGGAGCGAAAGCGUGGGGAGCGAACAGGAUUAGAUACCCUGGUAGUCCACGCCGUAAACGUUGGGCGCUAGAUGUGGGG
rnacentral:rRNA from 1 species